rnacentral:rRNA from 1 species
UACGGAGGAUCCAAGCGUUAUCCGGAAUCAUUGGGUUUAAAGGGUCCGUAGGCGGACGUCUAAGUCAGUGGUGAAAUUCUGCAGCUCAACUGUAGAACUGCCAUUGAUACUGGUCGUCUUGAAUCGUUGUGAAGUGGCUAGAAUAUGUAGUGUAGCGGUGAAAUGCUUAGAUAUGACAUAGAACACCAAUUGCGAAGGCAGCUCACUACACAAAUAUUGACGCUGAGGCACGAAAGCGUGGGGAUCAAACAGG